UCGAAAUCCUAUGAUGUUAUCC
rnacentral:siRNA from 1 species